AUUGAACGCUGGCGGCAGGCCUAACACAUGCAAGUCGAGCGGAUGAGUGGAGCUUGCGCCAUGAUUCAGCGGCGGACGGGUGAGUAAUGCCUAGGAAUCGGCCUGGUAGUCGGGGACAACGUAUCGAAAGGAACGCUAAUACAGCAUACGUCCUACGGGAGAAAGCAGGGGACCUUCGGGCCUUGCGAUAUCAGAUGACCCUAGGUCGGAUUAGCUAGAAGGUGAGGUAAUGGCUCACCUAGGUGACGAUCCGUAACUGGUCUGAGAGGAUGAUCAGUCACACUGGAACUGAGACACGGUCCAGACUCCUACGGGAGGCAGCAGUGGGGAAUAUUGGACAAUGGGCGAAAGCCUGAUCCAGCCAUGCCGCGUGUGUGAAGAAGGUCUUCGGAUUGUAAAGCACUUUAAGUUGGGAGGAAGGGCAGUAAGUUAAUACCUUGCUGUUUUGACGGUACCGACAGAAUAAGCACCGGCUAACUCCGUGCCAGCCGCCGCAGUAACAC
rnacentral:rRNA from 1 species